AUCGCACGAGUGAGCUGAACUUCUGCUCCGGUUGUAGUGUACUAUUCACAAUUUGGUACUUUAUGGAGAAAUUAAUUUCGUUAAGGAAAACAGAUAUCGCUGCGUAUUUUUUUAACAGGACGUCAGUGUUGGCUAUGUAAUCCUCGCUUCUUCCUGUAAUUAAAGGGUUUAUUGGAAUUUGAUUUUUUUACAGUGGUCUCCAUGGUUUCCUAUGGCGUCAUUUGAGAAUGUUUGAUUACUGAAAGCAGGUAAGCCACUGACUAACGCACAUUGCGCCUAUUCUCCAUCCCACUGUGCGUGUGACAGCGGCUAACCAGCUUUUGGAUGUAUGCCUGACUUCGUGGAAACGUCCCACGACGGAUAUAUACAGUUUAAGCGACACCUUUGGGUGCACGUGGAUCUACAGGUAAAGCGCGGUGCUUGCAAUACCAAGGUGAAGGGUUCGAAUCCUAUUUUAACACGGAAUAGGAUGAAAUGUAUAUCUCUAUUACACUUGUAGAGGAUUUGCAUUAGCGUCUGCCAAAUGCAUGAACGACGCUUGUCGUUAUGACGUCAGCCUUAAUGUACGUGCGGGGCGUCACUGUCAUGUAUCUGCUAUAUCAUACGUGUCCUGAAGCUAGAGGAUGUGUAUUUUGUAGAAUGUGUGUAACACGCUGUAUUGUAUAUGUUAUCGCUUGACUUGUAGCUGUAGUUGCUGCUAUUGUGUGUGUAAUUUUGCCGGUGAACUUCUGAACUUGUAGCUUUAUGUAAGAGCAGUUACAGUUGGAUGUGCUGGUGUAACUGCUUGUGAAUUAUAACAACACUGAUACAUAUUGUGACUUUGUAGCCAACGUUUGUGUUAUUUCCUGUUUAUUUUUAAUAAAAUUAUUAAAUAAAGUAAA